rnacentral:misc_RNA from 1 species
GUGGAAGAGAAGGUUGAGGAACCUGCUGAGGAAUCUGAUGAAGAUAUGGGUCUUGGUUUGUUCGAUUAGGCUCUUUAGAUUUAACAUGGAAGUGUGACCUUGGAAGUUUUGGACUUGGAUUGCUAGGUUUUUAUUCGGUUAAUGUUCUGUUUUGGUGUUUCUUCACUACACUUCAUGAACUAUGGGUAUCUCUGGUUUUGUUUAUUUCAUGAUUGGCUUGACUUGGUUAUGG